rnacentral:rRNA from 1 species
UACAGAGGUCCCAAGCGUUGUUCGGAUUCAUUGGGCGUAAAGGGUGCGUAGGUGGCGCGCUAAGUCAGGUGUGAAAUCUCGGAGCUUAACUCCGAAAUGGCAUUUGAUACUGGCGUGCUUGAGGACUGGAGAGGAGACUGGAAUUCACGGUGUAGCAGUGAAAUGCGUAGAUAUCGUGAGGAAGACCAGUGGCGAAGGCGGGUCUCUGGACAGUUCCUGACACUGAGGCACGAAGGCCAGGGGAGCAAACGGG